rnacentral:tRNA from 1 species
GUUUUAAUAGUUUAUAAAAAAAAUAAUGAUCUUGUAAAUCAUAGAUAGUUAAUACACUUUAAAACU